GUCGAGGUGGCGGAGCGGACAAUCGCACCAGACUGUAAAUCUGGCGGCCGAAAGACCUACGUAGGUUCGAAUCCUACCCUCGACA
rnacentral:tRNA from 1 species